AGCGCAGGCGGAUAGGUCAGUCUAAAGUGGAAUCCCGGGGCUCAACCUCGGAACUGCUUCGGAUACUGCCUGUCUUGAGUUCGUGAGAGGAAAGCGGAAUUCAGGGUGUAGCGGUGAGAUGCUUAGAUAUCCUGAGGAACACCAAUGGCGAAGGCAGCUUUCUGGCGCGAUACUGACGCUGAGGCUCGAAAGCGUGGGGAGCGAACG
rnacentral:rRNA from 1 species